rnacentral:lncRNA from 1 species
AUUAUGGCCUCCUCUGUCCCCAGGCCCCUGCCGUCCAUAACAGGUCAGGGUCUUGUUUAGGAUAUGAUGGGGAAGUUCCCUUUUAGGCCCUUGUAGUAGGGUGGUAGACAGGGUACAGUCAUGGCCUUGCCACUGGCUUACUGUGUGACCUUGGACAGAUUAAGAGUCCCUUUGACUCUUAAUGUCAGUAGCACAGUGAUGAAGCUGAGCUUCAGGAACUCCUGGUUCUGUCCCAGCUGAGGACAUCUCUGCUGGUGGUGAUCAUUUUAGCUUGUGUUCAUUUAGCACAAUGACAAGAGUGAGACUAGUGAGUUCUGAGUGUGGGUGGGUGAGGUUAUGGAAAGAAGGAGUUGAUCACUGCACACGCUGAAGUCUGGGGUUUUUUGAGCAAUUGAUGGGAGGUCAGGAGUCAGCAGAGCCUGUCUCCCCAGGUCCUUACACAGAGCCCGCUCUGAGACUUCCUCUGGCCUCUAUGCUGCAGUGGUGGAAAGUCACCCCAGCCCAGCACAGGAGAGGAGAGCAACUGCUGACUGGUGCCCUGGGUGUGUCCCAUUCACUCCCUGCAGGCCCUGGGCGAGGGCACAGGACUGAGAAAUGCUGGGUACCUUCCAGGCUAAGCUCAGCCAGGCCUCCUAGCAACUUUCCAGCUCAUGUCUUCAGAGCAUCCACCCCUCUAGAGCUCCACAGGAGCCCCAUAAAGUAAGGGGCAUGGGGAUGCAGCCUUACUCCCUCAUCCAUGUGCAAGUGUCUGCACAUGUGACUUUGAGCUCUUUGUGGGUCAUCUUCCAUCACUCGUCUUGCCCUCUUGUGACACAGCCUAUGGGUUACUGGACUUCCAAGCCUCGGGCUAGUCAGUCCUAACUCCCCAUUCCUUUCUGAUUAGAUUUUAUUACCAAGCCUAUGCCAUUCUUCAUAUACAGAAAAGGAACUAAUUAAUCUGUGUAAGUGCAUGUGUAUGUGUGUGUGUGCGUUUCAAAUUUUAGAUAGGGUCUACAUAUACCCCUGGAUGUCCUGGAAUUUCCCAUGUACUCCAGACUGGCAUUGAAUUACAGAGAUUUGCCUGCCUCUGUCUCCUGUAUCCUGGGACUCAAGGAGUGUACCACCAUGCUCAACUACUGUGUGUCUCUUUAAUAAGUUAGGUGUCUUUAAGAAGAUGUUCUAAUGCCCAGUUCCCUCUCUUAUUUCUUCUUUGGCAGCCUUCUCUCCUCAGACAUGGUGGGAUGUACUCUGAUCUAGAGCAGGCAGCUGGCCAGAGGCCCACAGGGAGCUCAGUGAUUGGCCUCAGAUGACCUUGGGGACAAAGAUUGUCCUGUGAAGGGAAGUGAUGGCACAGGCUCUGAUCAGCUCUUCUGGGAACAGACAGAGAAGUGAGAAUUCCUGCCAAAGCCACAGGAUGAACACAGAGCCAAGAACCUGAACCAGAAAAAUCCAGCAGGAAAGGAACCUGCACUAGCCACCAUCCUGAGGCUGCUGUACAGGGAGCAAUCCUACCGCAGGGACUUGGCAGGAGACCAGGGGCCUGCUCCCCAGUCCUCCUCGAGGGCCUCUGUCACCGACCUGCUUGUCUAGGAUCUCCUUUCUUUCUGCUUGUGCCACAUCUUUCAGGCCUGUUCUGGGUCUGAUGUGCUAUAGAACACUCUGUUCAGGCACUUGGGAAAUAGAGACUUCAUCACCAGCAUUUCCACCCCCAAAGAACUAGGCAGCACACUGGGAAGUUGCCAAAGGAAGGGACUCCAGCCUCCCAGGAGUUAACAACAUUUCUCCCCAGCUAUCCUCCCCUUGGUGCUCCUCUUCCUCCCUCCUCCUGCUCACAGCAGGCAGGGCCUGGAACCAGGAGCCAUGCUGCUGUGCUGUUGCCAGGGGAGCUGGGAGGCAGAUCGGAGCUAUGCAGGGAAAAGGCUCGGCCUGUCAGAGUGUCUGAGAUGAACCACCGCCAUCCCUGUGCAGCUGGGCUCCAUGUGUCUCAGGGCUCUUGUUCUGUGCCUGAGAACGGUGAAGCCCAGCGAGGUUCAAGGGCACACUCGCUAUUCAUCAGUCGGGGGUUCUUGACGGUCCUGCCUCUCCCAGGGAUGGGUUCCCCCCUUCCUCUUUCUCUCCCUCCUAUGAUACAUUCCUGGGUGCCUGUGGUGAGGACUGCACACCCCCUUCUCCACAGCCCCCCCAAACCCUGAAUCAACUCCUAUUAAGGAGGCCAGGCGAGACAGGGACAAUGGCUUCAAGAAAUCAUUCAGGCGGGACCUCAGUCACAUUCGCAUGCCCGUCACUCCCAGAGCCCCUGUAGAUCCCACUCUGCUGUGAUUCAGGGACCCUUGGGCCCCCAGCUUGCACAUGCCUAGACAGGAGCAGGCCACUAGGUGCUGCCCUACACAACAGGCCAGUGCAGUGUUUGUUCUCAGGGACCCUGGGGCCUCCAUCCCACUGGCUGGAUAGUGUGUGCAGUCAGUUGGAGAGCAGAAACUACAAUAUUUUCUGAAAUGUGGUAAUAUCAAGAUAUAAGAGGCACAUAUACGUGAUGACUAAUUUCACUUCAGAUAUACUGGAAAAGUUUGCUAAGAACAUGGACAAAGACCUGUGGUUGAGUAACGAGUCAUUUCAUUCCAUGGAAUAUUACACACCUGUAAGACUGUGGUAGAUCUACCUCUGCAUGCAGGCUGAUAGGGAAGGUUGCUAAUAUACUUAAGUGAAUAGAAUAAAGUACAAAACAGUCAAGUGUGUUCUUGUUUGUAUAUACUUAAAGGUCAGUUACGGUGGCAGGGGUGUGUGAAGCUCAGUGGUAAAAUGCACACAGCAUACAGGAGGCCUAGAGCCAAAAAACCCUGUAUCAACCAUAAGUAUGUCUGCAUGAAUGGUUGGCAAGCAAGCCCUGCCCAGCAGCCUCCAGGAAGCAGGAGGCCUUUCCUCCUGUGUCUUUGUGUUUGUUUUCUCUCUGCGUUUGUGAAGCACUUUUAUUGAAAAAAAGAAAGGAUAGUAAUCACUUAAUAGGUGUAACUUCUCUCAGCCAACGAAGGGCAUGCACUCCAAGACAAGGUGGUGAUGUGGCUGAGAAGUGUCUUGACAGUACUGGUGGCCUCU